rnacentral:rRNA from 1 species
UACGGGGGGGGCAAGCGUUGUUCGGAAUUACUGGGCGUAAAGGGCUCGUAGGCGGCCAACUAAGUCGGAUGUGAAAUCCCCAGGCUUAACCUGGGAACUGCAUCCGAUACUGGAUGGCUUGAAUCCGGGAGAGGGAUGCGGAAUUCCAGGUGUAGCGGUGAAAUGCGUAGAUAUCUGGAGGAACACCGGUGGCGAAGGCGGGUCUCUGGGCCGAUACUGACGCUGAGGAGCGAAAGCGUGGGGAGCAAACAGG